rnacentral:rRNA from 1 species
GAUGAACGCUGGCGGCGUGCCUAAUACAUGCAAGUCGAGCGAACGGACGAGAAGCUUGCUUCUCUGAUGUUAGCGGCGGACGGGUGAGUAACACGUGGAUAACCUACCUAUAAGACUGGGAUAACUUCGGGAAACCGUAGCUAAUACCAGAUAAUAUUUUGAACCGCAUGGUUCAAAAGUGAAAGACGGUCUUGCUGUCACUUAUAGAUGGAUCCGCGCUGCAUUAGCUAGUUGGUAAGGUAACGGCUUACCAAGGCAACGAUGCAUAGCCGACCUGAGAGGGUGAUCGGCCACACUGGAACUGAGACACGGUCCAGACUCCUACGGGAGGCAGCAGUAGGGAAUCUUCCGCAAUGGGCGAAAGCCUGACGGAGCAACGCCGCGUGAGUGAUGAAGGUCUUCGGAUCGUAAAACUCUGUUAUUAGGGAAGAACAUAUGUGUAAGUAACUGUGCACAUCUUGACGGUACCUAAUCAGAAAGCCACGGCUAACUACGUG